rnacentral:rRNA from 1 species
GCGAAAGCCGGGCCAGCGGCGGGGGUAAUACGGAGGGGGCAAUCGGUAUCCGGAUUUAAUGGGUUUAAAGGGUCCGUAGGCGGAUCUGUAAGUCAGUGGUGAAAUCUCAUAGCUUAACGAUGAAACUGCCAUUGAUACUGCGGGUCUUGAGUAAGGUAGAAGUGGCUGGAAUAAGUAGUGUAGCGGUGAAAUGCAUAGAUAUUACUUAGAACACCAAUUGCGAAGGCAGGGCACUAUGUCUUAACUGACGCUGAUGGACGAAAGCGUGGGGAGCGAACAGGAUUAGAUACCCCUGUAGUC